rnacentral:rRNA from 1 species
AUUGAACGCUGGCGGCGGGCCUAACACAUGCAAGUCGAACGAGUGGCGGACGGGUGAGUAAUGUCUGGGAAACUGCCUGAUGGAGGGGGAUAACUACUGGAAACGGUAGCUAAUACCGCAUACCAUCGGAUGAUCCCAGAUGGGAUUAGCGAGUAGGUGGGGUAACGGCUCAACUAGGCGACGCUCCCUAGCUGGUCUGAGAGGAUGACCAGCCACACUGGAACUGAGACACGGUCCAGACUCCUACGGGAGGCAGCAGGGGGGAAUAUUGCACAAUGGGCGCAAGCCUGAUGCAGCCAUGCCGCGUGUAUGAAGAAGGCCUUCGGGUUGUAAAGUACUUGCAGCGGGGAGGCGUUACCCGCAGAAGAAGCACCGACUAACUCCGUGCCAGCAGCCGCGGUAAUUC